AUUAAGAAAGGGUCAGCAAAGGCGGUGGGGGAGAGGAGUGGAUGACCCCAAGGUGAGAUAAGGGAGAGGUCAAGGUGAGUAACGGAUCUGAAGCAAGUGGGUAACAUGAUGAGGUCACGGACGUUGCCACGGAGCGUGAGGGAGGAGCGCGUGGAACGUUCGAGGACCAUCCAUUUCCGGCAGACAAGGGAGGCCGAGUUGCGGCUGCGGACGUCGGAGACGACGGCGAUGAUGUUGGAGAGGAUGACAUCAGGGAGGUCGUUA
rnacentral:misc_RNA from 1 species